rnacentral:tRNA from 1 species
GAGGAUGUGGCUCAGUGGUAGAGUGCUUGCCUGGAAUGUAUGAGGCCCUGGGUUCAAUUCCCAGCACCACA